rnacentral:rRNA from 1 species
ACACGACUACAUUAGAUACCCGUGUAGUCCUAGCCGUAAACGAUACUCGCUAGGUGUCGGCCACGGUGCGACCGUUGUCGGUGCCGUAGGGAAGCCGUGAAGCGAGCCACCUGGGAAGCACGGCCGCAAGGCUGAAACUUAAAGGAAUUGGCGGGGGAGCACAACAACGGGUGGAGCUUGCGGUUUAAUUGGAUUCAACGCCGGAAAUCUUACCGGGACCGACAGCAACAUGAAGGCCAAGCUGAAGACUUUGCCGGAUUAGCUG